rnacentral:rRNA from 1 species
CAUGCUGGAGGUAUCAGAAGUGCGAAUGCUGACAUAAGUAACGAUAAAGCGGGUGAAAAGCCCGCUCGCCGGAAGACCAAGGGUUCCUGUCCAACGUUAAUCGGGGCAGGGUGAGUCGACCCCUAAGGCGAGGCCGAAAGGCGUAGUCGAUGGGAAACAGGUUAAUAUUCCUGUACUUGGUGUUACUGCGAAGGGGGGACGGAGAAGGCUAUGUUGGCCGGGCGACGGUUGUCCCGGUUUAAGCGUGUAGGCUGGUUUUCCAGGCAAAUCCGGAAAACCAAGGCUGAGGCGUGAUGACGAGGCACUACGGUGCUGAAGCGACAAAUGCCCUGCUUCCAGGAAAAGCCUCUAAGCAUCAGGUAACAUCAAAUCGUACCCCAAACCGACACAGGUGGUCAGGUAGAGAAUACCAAGGCGCUUGAGAGAACUCGGGUGAAGGAACUAGGCAAAAUGGUGCCGUAACUUCGGGAGAAGGCACGCUGAUAUGUAGGUGAAGCGACUUGCUCGUGGAGCUGAAAUCAGUCGAAGAUACCAGCUGGCUGCAACUGUUUAUUAAAAACACAGCACUGUGCAAACACGAAAGUGGACGUAUACGGUGUGACGCCUGCCCGGUGCCGGAAGGUUAAUUGAUGGGGUUAGCGGCAACGCGAAGCUCUUGAUCGAAGCCCCGGUAAACGGCGGCCGUAACUAUAACGGUCCUAAGGUAGCGAAAUUCCUUGUCGGGUAAGUUCCGACCUGCACGAAUGGCGUAAUGAUGGCCAGGCUGUCUCCACCCGAGACUCAGUGAAAUUGAACUCGCUGUGAAGAUGCAGUGUACCCGCGGCAAGACGGAAAGACCCCGUGAACCUUUACUAUAGCUUGACACUGAACAUUGAGCCUUGAUGUGUAGGAUAGGUGGGAGGCUUUGAAGUGUGGACGCCAGUCUGCAUGGAGCCGACCUUGAAAUACCACCCUUUAAUGUUUGAUGUUCUAACGUUGGCCCCUAAUCGGGGUUGCGGACAGUGUCUGGUGGGUAGUUUGACUGGGGCGGUCUCCUCCUAAAGAGUAACGGAGGAGCACGAAGGUUGGCUAAUCCUGGUCGGACAUCAGGAGGUUAGUGCAAUGGCAUAAGCCAGCUUGACUGCGAGCGUGACGGCGCGAGCAGGUGCGAAAGCAGGUCAUAGUGAUCCGGUGGUUCUGAAUGGAAGGGCCAUCGCUCAACGGAUAAAAGGUACUCCGGGGAUAACAGGCUGAUACCGCCCAAGAGUUCAUAUCGACGGCGGUGUUUGGCACCUCGAUGUCGGCUCAUCACAUCCUGGGGCUGAAGUAGGUCCCAAGGGUAUGGCUGUUCGCCAUUUAAAGUGGUACGCGAGCUGGGUUUAGAACGUCGUGAGACAGUUCGGUCCCUAUCUGCCGUGGGCGCUGGAGAACUGAGGGGGGCUGCUCCUAGUACGAGAGGACCGGAGUGGACGCAUCACUGGUGUUCGGGUUGUCAUGCCAAUGGCACUGCCCGGUAGCUAAAUGCGGAAGAGAUAAGUGCUGAAAGCAUCUAAGCACGAAACUUGCCCCGAGAUGAGUUCUCCCUGAGACUUAGAGUCUCCUGAAGGAACGUUGAAGACGACGACG